GACGAACGCUGGCGGCGUGCCUAAUACAUGCAAGUAGAACGCUGAAGGAGGAGCUUGCUCUUCUGGAUGAGUUGCGAACGGGUGAGUAACGCGUAGGUAACCUGCCUGGUAGCGGGGGAUAACUAUUGGAAACGAUAGCUAAUACCGCAUAAGAGUAGAUGUCGCAUGACAUUUGCUUAAAAGGUGCAAUUGCAUCACUACCAGAUGGACCUGCGUUGUAUUAGCUAGUUGGUGGGGUAACGGCUCACCAAGGCGACGAUACAUAGCCGACCUGAGAGGGUGAUCGGCCACACUGGGACUGAGACACGGCCCAGACUCCUACGGGAGGCAGCAGUAGGGAAUCUUCGGCAAUGGACGGAAGUCUGACCGAGCAACGCCGCGUGAGUGAAGAAGGUUUUCGGAUCGUAAAGCUCUGUUGUAAGAGAAGAACGGGUGUGAGAGUGGAAAGUUCACAG
rnacentral:rRNA from 1 species